rnacentral:rRNA from 1 species
GUGCAGAAGAGGAGAGUGGAAUUCCACGUGUAGCGGUGAAAUGCGUAGAGAUGUGGAGGAACACCAGUGGCGAAGGCGACUCUCUGGUCUGUAACUGACGCUGAGGAGCGAAAGCGUGGGGAGCGAACAGGAUUAGAUACCCUGGUAGUCCACGCCGUAAACGAUGAGUGCUAAGUGUUAGGGGGUUUCCGCCCCUUAGUGCUGCANNUAACGCAUUAAGCACUCCGCCUGGGGAGUACGGUCGCAAGACUGAAACUCAAAGGAAUUGACGGGGGCCCGCACAAGCGGUGGAGCAUGUGGUUUAAUUCGAAGCAACGCGAAGAACCUUACCAGGUCUUGACAUCCUCUGACAAUCCUAGAGAUAGGACGUCCCCUUCGGGGGCAGAGUGACAGGUGGUGCAUGGUUNUCGUCAGCUCGUGUCGUGAGAUGUUGGGUUAAGUCCCGCAACGAGCGCAACCCUUGAUCUUAGUUGCCAGCAUUCAGUUGGGCACUCUAAGGUGACUGCCGGUGACAAACCGGAGGAAGGUGGGGAUGACGUCAAAUCAUCAUGCCCCUUAUGACCUGGGCUACACANNUGCUACAAUGGACAGAACAAAGGGCANNNAAACCGCGAGGUUAAGCCAAUCCCACAAAUCUGUUCUCAGUUCGGAUCGCAGUCUGCAAC